rnacentral:rRNA from 1 species
AUCGAACGCUGGCGGCAGGCCUAACACAUGCAAGUCGAGCGGAGCGGCGGACGGGUGGGUAAUGCCUAGGAAUCUGCCUGGUAGUGGGGGAUAACGUCCGGAAACGGGCGCUAAUACCGCAUACUAUCAGAUGAGCCUAGGUCGGAUUAGCUAGUGGGUGGGGUAAAGGCCUACCAAGGCGAUGAUCCGUAACUGGUCUGAGAGGAUGAUCAGACACACUGGAACUGAGACAGGGGCCAGAAUGCUGCGGGAGGCAGAAGUGGGAAUAUUGGACAAUGGGCGAAAGCCUGAACCAGCAAUGCCGCGUGUGUGAAGAAGGUCUUCGGAGUGUAAAGCACUUUAAGUUGGGAGGCGGUACCUACAGAGUAAGCACCGGCUAACUUCGUGCCAGCAGCCGCGGUAAUAC